UACGGAGGGGGCUAGCGUUGUUCGGAAUUACUGGGCGUAAAGCGCACGUAGGCGGCGAUUUAAGUCAGAGGUGAAAGCCCGGGGCUCAACCCCGGAACUGCCUUUGAGACUGGAUUGCUAGAAUCUUGGAGAGGCGGGUGGAAUUCCGAGUGUAGAGGUGAAAUUCGUAGAUAUUCGGAAGAACACCAGUGGCGAAGGCGGCCCGCUGGACAAGUAUUGACGCUGAGGUGCGAAAGCGUGGGGAGCAAACAGG
rnacentral:rRNA from 1 species